rnacentral:rRNA from 1 species
UACGAAGGGGGCUAGCGUUGUUCGGAUUUACUGGGCGUAAAGCGCGUGUAGGCGGGCUUGUAAGUCAGGGGUGAAAGCCCGGGGCUCAACUCCGGAACUGCCUUCGAGACUGCAAGCCUCGAGACCGGAAGAGGCGAGUGGAAUUCCUAGUGUAGAGGUGAAAUUCGUAGAUAUUAGGAAGAACACCAGUGGCGAAGGCGGCUUACUGGUCCUGUUCUGACGCUGAGGUGCGAAAGCGUGGGGAGCAAACAGG